AAAUAUUAAAUCUGCUCUAUAUGUGUGUGUGUCCCUACAGGGCUGAGUGCUGUCUCAUCAGCUGCUGGACGUCAGUACUAUUUUGUUUAUGACAGGAAGAACUUUACUGAAGCCCAAAGAUACUGCAGAGAGAAAGACGCAGACCUGGCCACUGUAGACAACAUGGAGGUUAUGAAGAUCCUGACCAACACGGCAAAUUUAGACAACAUGUUCUACUCCAACAACAGCUACAGAGCCUGGAUAGGACUGUCUGACAGCUGGAGGUGGUCACUGUCAGACACAAGUUUCUACAAACCUGGGGAGACGGAGUUCAGACGAUGGGGAGCUGGAGAACCAGACGCUAGAUACAGUG